rnacentral:rRNA from 1 species
UAACGCGUGAGCAACCUGCCUCUCAGAGGGGGAUAACGUUUUGAAAAGAACGCUAAUACCGCAUAACAUAUCGGAACCGCAUGAUUCUGAUAUCAAAGGAGCAAUCCGCUGAGAGAUGGGCUCGCGUCCGAUUAGUUAGUUGGUGAGGUAACGGCUCACCAAGACUACGAUCGGUAGCCGGACUGAGAGGUUGAUCGGCCACAUUGGGACUGAGACACGGCCCAGACUCCUACGGGAGGCAGCAGUGGGGGAUAUUGCGCAAUGGGGGAAACCCUGACGCAGCAACGCCGCGUGAAGGAAGAAGGUCUUCGGAUUGUAAACUUCUUUUGUCAGGGACGAAGAAAGUGACGGUACCUGACGAAUAAGCUCCGGCU